AACGAACGCUGGCGGCGUGCCUAACACAUGCAAGUCGAACGGGGCAAGAGGGGCAACUCUCUUGCUUAGUGGCGCACGGGUGAGUAACACGUAGGUAACCUGCCCUAGAGUGGGGGAUAACAUUCGGAAACGGAUGCUAAUACCGCAUAAGACCACGCUCCGGAAGGAGUGGGGUAAAAGGAGCAAUCCGCUUUAGGAUGGGCCUGCGGCCUAUCAGGUAGUUGGCGGGGUAACGGCCCACCAAGCCUAAGACGGGUAGCCGGUCUGAGAGGACAAUCGGCCACACUGGAACUGAGACACGGUCCAGACUCCUACGGGAGGCAGCAGUGGGGAAUAUUGCACAAUGGGCGAAAGCCUGAUGCAGCAACGCCGCGUGAGUGAUGAAGGCCUUCGGGUUGUAAAGCUCUGUCUUUUGGGACGAUAAUGACGGUACCAAAGGAGGAAGCCACGGCUAACUACGUGCCAGCCGCCGCAGUAACAC
rnacentral:rRNA from 1 species